GUGCCAAAGUGGUCGACUGACUUAUAAAUGAGAUUAGAUUCAUUGCAAAGAUUGAAUUUGGAAAACCACAUACUAGAUGCUUGAUGAGUCACAUGAACACAGUCAGAAGAGUGAGGAGAUUUACUGGCAUAAUAUCAAUACAGAGUGCAGUUUGUUCUCUGGGUUUCACAUAAACAGUUCAAUAUAUGCUGAGAUGAAAAGGCUCUGCCUUGAAUGCAAAUUAAUCAAUUCAGGCACUACACCAAAUGAGACAAAAACUCUGCCAACAUCAAAGCCUUUCAGCCAUAAGUCUUUAUCACAGGAUGCAGGGACUUCCUCAGCGAAUUCACAUAGUUGAGGCCAUAUUUCAUAAGCUGUGGCAGAAUGGUGAAAAGGCUCUGGCGCAUUUGAAGAAAUUAACAACAGAGCAUUAUGCUCAAGUGAUUUAUUCCAACUCCAAGGCUAAAGCUUCUGCUAAAGCCGCAUCAGUUCUGCGUCGUCAUCAGUUUGACCUCAGGACUACAUCCACUCAGUACUUAAUACAUAAAAGCGGUAUAAUCCUUUUAGAAUAUUAAAUGAUUGUCCAUUUGAUAUGCUCAGAACACCAGGCUUUGUGUUAAAACAAUGGGGUUCAAAAAGGUAUUUAAUUAUCGCUCUUUCUCUGCCUCUCAAUCACAAACACGUCAAUAUGUACUAUAUAUUACCAUCUCUAACCUUCAUCCUCGCUGAGGGAUUUGAAACUGCUGAGUGUGGUCUAAUCCCCAGCACUCAUCUUAGAGAAGCAGGUACCGCAUAACCAACCUGGCAUUUACUGCCUUUGCACCACACAGCCCUGUGAGCACUGGCUUAACAAUAUCUACAGUAGAGAGGCAAAAGCAUGCUGUAAGUGGGAAGUGUCUAUCUUGACUUCAUCAUACUGAAACUGAAAUCUUCUCAAGCAGCAACAGAAUUUUGCAUGCCCAACCAACUAUAAGAUGGCUGACACUCAUAGAGAAGGAGAAGAACAAGGGGAAGAACAAGAUCUGGAGGCUCCAGAAGAAGAGAUGGAUGACGAACAUAAUACCUUGCUACACUUUAGCAAAUACCGUGAAGCUCAGUUUGCAAAACCUUGGGAGCAGUGGACCUUCAGAGAUAAAGCAAACUAUUACAUGGACCGCAUCUUCCUUGGGUUUUUGGUCACUUUUUUGGUUAUUUUUAUUGGAGAGUGUGGCUAUAAAAUCUGGUACGUGACAAACGUGAAUGCGAUUGUGGAGUUUGUUUCAGAUUCGGUGGUCUUUUUGUUCGAUUGGCUCUUCACGCAGGACAGACAGGAGCAGGUGGCUGAACUAUAGGCUGCAAUGAAAGGAUUACUUGAUUUUGUCUUUUUUGUGUGUAUUUUCUGCAAUGUUUAAAACACAAAAGAUCACUAGAGAUUUUGUCUGCAUCUUAGCAAGGAAUUUUUGUAAUAUUACCAGUACCUGAGCACUAUUUCUGAUCAUUUUUGAUGGAAGUACACAUAUUGAAUGAGCUGUCUCACUGUCAUGCACUUCAAUGAUUUGUACCAUGUGGUUUUUUCCCCAAACCAACUAUGUAAUUAAAAAAAUUAUUAACUUCA